CCUACGGGAGGCAGCAGUGGGGAAUAUUGCACAAUGGGCGAAAGCCUGAUGCAGCAACGCCGCGUGAAGGAAGACGGUUUUCGGAUUGUAAACUUCUGUUCUUAGUGAAGAAUAAUGACGGUAACUAAGGAGCAAGCCCCGGCUAACUACGUCCAAGCAGCCACGGUAAUACGUAGGUGGCAAGCGUUGUCCGGAAUUACUGGGUGUAAAGGGAGCGUAGGCGGGAAGCCAAGUCAGCUGUGAAAACUACGGGCUUAACCUGUAGACUGCAGUUGAAACUGGCUUUCUUGAGUGAAGUAGAGGUUGGCGGAAUGCCGGGUGUAGCGGUGAAAUGCGUAGAUAUCCGGAGGAACACCGGUGGCGAAGGCGGCCAACUGGGCUUUAACUGACGCUGAGGCUCGAAAGUGUGGGGAGCAAACAGGAUUAGAUACCCCUGUAGUC
rnacentral:rRNA from 1 species